GGGGAGGGCUGGGGCUUUCUUGUUCUCUAGUGUGCUGUGCAUGUGUGUGUUUAUACGGGGAGCACACAGGCGUACUUACCCAGGGCUGGACAAAGUACGUCACUUCAAGACGGCAACAGGAACUCAGACAAACUCAGAAAUGAAUAUGGCAGACCAACAGCUCCCAACCUGUUCAAGGGGACUAGACCCACCUUGGACCCUGUUAUCUGUACUGAGGAUGCUCGAGUUUUAUACCCUGCCCAUCACGGCGGUGUGGCCCCGUGGAAGAUUUCCCAACGAUCCGCAGGAGCUCACUGGGGACUCACAGACGGCGUCAUGGACAAAGCCUCCAAGGGGUGACCCUGGUGUCCAGGCUUCCUGCAGGCCCCAGACCAAGCCCCUCCCUAGACGCCUCCGUUCUCCUUCUCCAGGCGAGGCAAGGACUGCGGAUGCAAAGGGCUGGGCCCCCGGCCACCGGACCUUGAAGUAAAGGUUAACAUGCUCACAUCCAAGACCUGUCUGUCCCCGUGCUUCAGUCAGCGGCCAGCUGUCAGCCACCCAAGUACAGUCCUGAAAUCGCCCCACUUCUGUCCAGAACAUGGUGUGGAUGCUCUCAAAGGUCGUUUUGCUUCUAACACCUCUGGGAUUUCUACUUCCUGCUUCUACAAUGUGCCCCUUAUAGAGCGCUUGCAAUAAACCAGGUGUGU